rnacentral:rRNA from 1 species
AUUGAACGCUGGCGGCAUGCUUUACACAUGCAAGUCGAACGGCAGCGGGGGCUUCGGCCUGCCGGCGAGUGGCGAACGGGUGAGUAAUGUAUCGGAACGUGCCCAUGUCGUGGGGGAUAACGUAGCGAAAGCUACGCUAAUACCGCAUACGUCCUGAGGGAGAAAGCGGGGGAUCUUUGGACCUCGCGCGAUUGGAGCGGCCGAUGUCGGAUUAGCUAGUAGGUGAGGUAAAGGCUCACCUAGGCGACGAUCCGUAGCGGGUCUGAGAGGAUGAUCCGCCACACUGGGACUGAGACACGGCCCAGACUCCUACGGGAGGCAGCAGUGGGGAAUUUUGGACAAUGGGGGCAACCUGAUCCAGCCAUGCCGCGUGAGUGAAGAAGGCCU